rnacentral:lncRNA from 12 species
UGAUGAGAUAAAUAAUAGCAAAAAAGAAAGCUGGUAGAUGAAUUCUAAGCAUGGCUAUAGAAUGGAAGGAAACUAUAAGAGGAUAAGACAAAUCCUCAAGAAACAGAAAAGAUGCAGUGGAGAAAAGGAAAGUUGAGUAAGCUCCCAAAAGAUCCCUUCAAUCUUUUCAGUAAAGUAAGGAGGUAAGUCUUCAGCUUAAUGGGAGAAUAUAACUGAGAUUUGAUGUACAGGAGGCCAAUCAGUUGGAAAAAAACACUAAUAGAGGUAUCUCAUGAAAUCAAAGAGGUAUAAGCCAUAGGAUAAACAAACAAUGGACAAGGAUAAAACAUCUUUUGUUGAAACUCACAACCUGAGUUAUAGUUUAUGUUGUAACUCACUCAAAAUCUGUGCUCUUUUUUUUACACAAUUAUGUCUUUUGUACAAAUCUACUUUGCCAGUCUAGGCACUACUGUUAUAGAUUAUAAGAACGUUUCAAUGGAGAAUUCAACCUCCUGAGCCAUUACCAAUAGAACCAGAGCUCUUCAUCACAUUUCUUGACAGCAUUACAUGGGCAAAACAAAAUGUAUGUACAGACUCAAUCCUGCCCACAGGCAAUCAGCAUGUAGCCUUAUUUUAGAUCCAUUCAACAUCUAUAAAAGCUACGAAGAAGGAUGCUGUUUCCUUCCCAUCACCUCUAAUGAACUUCAUUGCAAAUCCACAGGUGAAGCAAGGGGAAGCUGGGGAAUUGCACUACUAAUAUCCCCUGUUUGCCUGAGGGAAAUUCACGCCUUAAUUAUUUGGGGCAUCUCCAAGGAUGCUAACAUUAUCAUUAUCUAUGAAUCAGUACUGGCCAUUCCUUGCCAGCAGUGGGAAUGGAAAUCCAUCACACCCAUUGGCAAUGAAACAUGACGGUGGUGUGUAACACUGAAGACCUGAUUGCUGUAGUGACAUGUUUGUGACUAGAGUCAGAUAGACCCCUCUGUUGUAUUCAGUUGGGAAUACAUCAUAAUAAAGUCACUUGAACACUAAUGUGUUUAUCCUGU